AUGUAUUACCUCUAUAAUGAUGUGCACGUUGUCUCCUUUCUUUGUGGAUGUGAAGUGAGUAAACUCAGGGUCUGGAUGGUAGGUUAUUUUAGUGGAACAGGCCAAGGUUUCAUUGGCUACUUUCACAGACACAGUAGAAACUUCCUGAGUGUGUUGAGCUGCAGGUGUGUCGUAGGUGAGACUCUGCAAGCUGGUGUUUCUGGGAGGACUGACUUGCUGCGGGGCGUGGCCGUGUACGAGCCCUUCCACAAACUCCAGGUGGGAUCCCAUUACUGUGAUUCUCCUCUUCCCACUACAGGACACGGAGCAGCAGCCAAUCAGAGAAGAGGAUCUCAAAUACUUAAGCUACAUUUUGGUGAGACCAUGUUAACUUGGUGAUGGAAUAAUGGCAACCAGUGAUAAUCACCAACUAAAUGAACAAGUCACAAAAAACCCUAAAAUAAGCCAUUUACCAUAAUGUUUCCAUUGACAUACGUUGUCAUAAAACUGGCAACACUUUUUAAAUGGUGACAAACCAUAAUUAGUGAUGGUCCUGUCUGUUCAUAAACAUUAUUGUGCUGUCAUACUAUUGAUUAGGUGAUGAUUUACCAAUGACAACAGGAUACAUGGGUCACUUUUAUAUUGUGUGUUGAGUGUUUUGCUGAAAGACACUUUCCAAGUACCAAGUACCAACAAUCCAAACAUACCUGACCCAGGAGCUGCUUGGUUCAAUUUUGGUGCAGGAUGGUGAUGACUGGUAGGUGAGUUUGGCAUUGCCAUGGCAACUCCCAUCUGGGAGAACAGCACAUACAGUGACCUCACCUUUAUUAUCUGCACUGGGAACGUGGAACGUGAGGCUCACACCUGUGUUGUUCCACACAGGAGAUCUGAUCAGAGCACAGAGAGAAACCAGUUAAUGUGUUGGACAGAGAUCUGCUUUUCUAUAGCUGAUUUAUUAUGAAACACUAAGAACAAUGACAUGUAGAGCAGCAUCAUCCACUUCACAUAAUCUAAUCUGAACAAUUUUAUUGCUAUUACAUAACAUAAACUACAGAUGCACCAAUUGACUGGUUUUGUUGUUAAAGUUAUUCUGCCGUGAG
rnacentral:lncRNA from 1 species